AAAAAAACAUAUCAUUUAGAUUCAAAUAUUCAAUUCUAUUUAGAAUUCAAACUAAUUUAGAUAUAUUCAAAUGUCAGAAAAAAAAAAAACAAACGCCGCUAAGUUUAUAAUUUCAAUUGAAAAGGACAAAAUAUAUCUUCUAAAAAUUUUAAGACAUGUGGUGGCUGCCCCGCAAAUCCCGUAGUAGCACGGUCACUGGCAACAGCCAGCAACUGAUCAACAACCAAUCUUUUCGAUCAUCAUCCUGAAAUCGUUCUACUUCAAAUUGAAAUUCAAUUCAAACUAACAAUUUAAGGAAAUUCAAGUAUAAUCGACCUACUUAGAUUGGAUAAAAAUGAAAUGUUUUAUUAUUGUUUUUGAUGAAUUCAAAACAUAGAUUCUAUUUAAAAUUAGGGUAGAUUUUCCCCCGAGCAAUCGAUUGAUGUAAUUGUGUUUAUUCAUUUAUUAAUUAUAUUAAUUGUGCUAAUAUGUUUAACACACUUAAUAAAUAAUUAAAAAUUA
rnacentral:lncRNA from 1 species